rnacentral:lncRNA from 1 species
GGGGGGGGGGGGGGGGGGGGGGGGGGGGGGGGGGGGGGGGGGGGGGGGGGGGGGGGGGGGGGGGGGGGGGGGGGGGGGGGGGGGGGGGGGGGGGGGGGGGGGGGGGGGGGGGGGUGCAGACCAACAAUUAAACCCUAGGUCCUCAGUAGCUUCUGGACAGUUAUAAUCAGGACAAUAACACCAAUGGAGAGGGUAAUGCUGCAGGUGAGGUGUAAAUAGAUGGGAGAGACAGCGUGUGAUGAGAGACAUAAAUGGAGAAGACAGAAAAACUGGAAGAAAACUGAAGAAGAGACAGGAAGAGGUUCAUGAACAGACAGCUUUCCUGAAACAAGCCUUUGUUCUCUUAUGGACAAUUUUAGUGGGAGCAGUCAUCUGACAACAAAUUUUUACCAUACUUGAAGUGCCACUCUGAAAGUAAUUCCAGAAGGAAAAGGGUACGGAACAGGUGUGUGCAACUCAGCUGAGGAUAGAUUACUGCAGACUUUGACUUAUCUUGGACUGCCUUCCAGUAACUACCCUGUUGAAACAAAUCCCAUCCAUUUAUUCCAAAUUUGCUCUUCAUUUAUGGAAAGAAUGGGUCUAAUUGACAUGAAGUUGAAAAUCAUCAAUAUAAUCCAGAAGUUUUAUUGUAAUUAAAGGAGAGAUGAAAAGCAAAAUAGGGCUCUAUUUUUCUCUUACAUAGUACAAAUAAUUCAGCAGAAACCAACAGAAUUAUGCUGCUACCUGCAAAUGCUACUGUGAUACCUCCCCAUCUUCCCUAUCUUUGCUAUGCAUAUAUGUUGAUAUGGAAUAUCCUGACAU